UACGGAGGGUGCAAGCGUUAUCCGGAUUUACUGGGUUUAAAGGGUGCGUAGGUGGGUUGGUAAGUCAGUGGUGAAAUCUUCGAGCUUAACUCGGAAACUGCCAUUGAUACUAUCAAUCUUGAAUUAUCUGGAGGUAAGCGGAAUAUGUCAUGUAGCGGUGAAAUGCUUAGAUAUGACAUAGAACACCCAUUGCGAAGGCAGCUUACUACGGAUACAUUAACACUGAGGCACGAAAGCGUGGGGAUCAAACAGG
rnacentral:rRNA from 1 species